UUGAGUCUCUUUUAUUAUAAAUUUGAUUUUGUCAUCAAAUUCACCAAACGACCCUUAACGUUGCAUAGUCAUAGUGUACAUUAAUCCAGGACAAAGUAAGAAUAAUUAAAUCACCCUUUUUUGUUCUUGGAAUGCCAUCUUUAGUCUUCUCCGAUGACCAAAUCACACUUCCAUGGCAACCACUAGCAGGAACCCAAUCACGAGUUUGCCCAACAUUUUCAACACUACAAAAAUUCCCAAAUCAAAAACCAGGAAAACCAUAAUCAGAAAACUAAUGAUUUUUAUCUGAAGAUGGCUGUUGAGAUGAUACAAAGUAAGCCCUAUUAUCGUUUUGGGUGUUGUCUCUGCAGAAAAAAAAAACUAGCACAUCUUCACUCCCCAAUUAAUGAACAUGUCUUGUUUUCUGUAGCUGGUUUUUUUUGGGGAUUCUUGGCUUGAUUUCGAGAAAAAGGUCCAAUCUUUUGCUUUUGAAGAGUUAGAUUUUGUGUAGAUUUUCAGCGAAGAAGUUGCUUAUAUUCCUCACCGGUGAGUCUCUUAAAGGGUUUUGGCUUUUGUUUUCACUGAAAAUCUAGAGUGAUAGCUGGGGUUUCAGAAGAUGUGUUGGAAGAUUGGGUAAACAUGGGUUUGUGUGAUUUUAGUGUUUGCAUUUUAUAAAAAGUACUUGAAAAUGCUUGCGAAGUAGAAUUGAAUGUGAAGUUGGUUCAUUCGUUUUGAUCUGUUUUUAUUGUUUGUGAGAAUUGAGAAGCAAUGGAAGGGAAUUUGUCUCGGGAGGUAUGGUUCAAGGUGGGAGUUCCUUUGGUGGUUUUGAUCUGCCUAAAUCAAUGAGGGUUCAUCGGCAAGGGCAUCAUCCUCAUUCCAUGAAUCAACAUCAAACUCAUCCUUCGUCGGUGGUGAUCCUGGUUCGUGCCGGCGAGUUGCAGGGAGAGACGAGAUUCCUCUCUCGCGCGAAAAGGAGGACGAAGUUUGGGAUGCUCCAUCCGGCGUGGGUGGCGUCGUCGGCGACACUCUUGGCCAGCGAAGGAAGGUGCGACGGAGGGUAGGGACGACUGACGUUGGAGGUUGAAGGAAGAGGCUUUUUUCUCUUUUAGGAUUUUAGGGUUCUGAUGAAGAAGAAAAGAAGUUUGUCCUUUUUGCCCUCUGAUUUAACCUUUGCUCAAUCUAUUUUUUAAUACAAAAAUUAAUUCAAAAUGUCACGUCAGAUUAAUGAAUACGGUAACCAUAGAACUAAUGUAAAUGAUCAUUUAUUGAAUUUAAUGGCAAAUCCCUAAUUACUUCAAUUUUACAUAAAAAAAAGAUCCAAUUGAUACGUCAAAAAGAAAAAGUACUUAUUUAAGAUUUCGGAACUUCUGAUGAGAUUAAACCUUUUUUAAAUCAUAGUUUAUUAGAUUUAUUUAUCGCACAUGGGCCGGAUUGGUAAUUGAAUUCCUCAGACCAAGAGGCUUGGACUAUGAGUUCGCUUAGCAAACGAGGUGAGUAUUCGCUACUCUUUCAGAACUUCAGUUGUCCGCCUCGUCGAAAGGGAUGCAGGAGAGGGUCAAGAUUGAGUCUCAAACUGAGAGAUGUGGAGUCCUGGAAACAGGAUGGACGUGCUUGAUCUUAGCAGUUCCCACAUGGGUCCCAUGGCGGAGGGCCUGACGAACUUGCUUCUUAGUUGCUUUCCCACUCCGCUUGCUAUUAAGUCAAGAUAGCGAGGAAAGAGAGAAAGUCAGUCUUAUUAUCGUUCGUGAUCCUGAUAUAUCAUUUCAUUGCAUUUUGUUCCUUUUCAUCGAGUAUCAUCAAUUAAUCUAGGAAAAACCGGAUGGGCCAGGUCCACUAUUCACUUUGGGUUGGAUUUGGGAGGUUUCUACUUCCU
rnacentral:lncRNA from 1 species